rnacentral:lncRNA from 10 species
UGGAAAUGCACAGGUUGCUUCUCUCUCUCUCUCUCUUUUUUUUUUUUUUUGAGACGGUCACCCAGGCUGUAGUGCAGUGGCGUGAUCUCGGCUCACUGUGGCCUCCACCUCCCAAGUAGCUGGGAUUACAGGCUUGCGCCAUCAUGCAGGGCUAAUUUUUGUAUUUUUAGUAGAGACGAGGUUUCAUCAUGUUGGCCAGGCUGGUCUGGAACUCCUGACCUCAAGUGAUCUGCCCACCUUGGCCUCCCAAAGUGCUGGGAUUAAAGGCAUGAGCCACCACGCCUGGCCUAGGUUGUUCCUCUACUGUGAAUCUUGAGGUUAUGGUUUCCACUAGACUAUAGUGCUCAACUAUAGUGGCCUAUUUUAAGUGGCCUUAUAAUUCCUAACCAAAGUGACUUGUGAAACAGAGGACCCUGGAUAAAUUUAAAUGUUAUAAAGAUGAUAAAAUGUACAGUUUUUGGCUGUUAAUGAACAAUGCUG